rnacentral:rRNA from 1 species
GAUGAACGCUGGCGGCGUGCCUAAUACAUGCAAGUCGAACGCUGGAGCUCUAGCUUGCUAGAUCGAAGGAGUGGCGAACGGGUGAGUAAUACAUAAGCAACCUACCCACGAAGACUGGGAUAAUCUCUGGAAACGGGGACUAAUACCGGAUAGGUAAUCGGAAGGCAUCUUCUGGUUAUUAAAGGUUAAAAACACUGGUGGAUGGGCUUAUGGCGCAUUAGUUAGUUGGUGAGGUAACGGCCCACCAAGACGAUGAUGCGUAGCCGGCCUGAGAGGGUGAACGGCCACAUUGGGACUGAGACACGGCCCAGACUCCUACGGGAGGCAGCAGUAGGGAAUUUUCGGCAAUGGGGGCAACCCUGACCGAGCAACGCCGCGUGAGUGAAGACGGCCUUCGGGGUGUAAAGCUCUGUUGUAAGGGAAGAACGGUAGAUAGAGAAUAUCUAAGUGACGGUACCUUACCAGAAAGCCACGGCUAACUACGUG